rfam:Erinaceus europaeus unplaced genomic scaffold scaffold00046, whole genome shotgun sequence
AAAUUUACCUGGAAAGGGAGAUACCAGGAUCAUAAAGGUGGUUUUCCCAGGGCAAGGCUUAUCCAUUGUACUCCAGAUGUACUGACCCUCAGUGAUUUCCCCAAAUGUGGGAAACUCAGAUGCAUGUUUUUUUUUUAGUAGUGAGGGAAUGUCUUCUCAGG